GCCUGAUGCAGCAACGCCGCGUGCGGGAUGACGGCCUUCGGGUUGUAAACCGCUUUUAGUAAGGAAGAAGGGAAGCUUGCUUCUUGACGGUACUUGCAGAAAAAGGACCGGCUAACUACGUGCCAGCAGCCGCGGUAAUACGUAGGGUCCGAGCGUUGUCCGGAAUUAUUGGGCGUAAAGAGCUCGUAGGCGGUUUGUCGCGUCUGCUGUGAAAUCCCGAGGCUCAACCUCGGGUCUGCAGUGGGUACGGGCAGACUGGAGUGCGGUAGGGGAGAAUGGAAUUCCUGGUGUAGCGGUGGAAUGCGCAGAUAUCAGGAGGAACACCGAUGGCGAAGGCAGUUCUCUGGGCCGUAACUGACGCUGAGGAGCGAAAGCGUGGGGAGCGAACAGGAUUAGAUACCCUGGUAGUCCACGCCGUAAACGUUGGGCGCUAGAUGUGGGGACCUUUCCACGGUUUCCGUGUCGUAGCUAACGCAUUAAGCGCCCCGCCUGGGGAGUACGGCCGCAAGGCUAAAACUCAAAGGAAUUGACGGGGGCCCGCACAAGCGGCGGAGCAUGCGGAUUAAUUCGAUGCAACGCGAAGAACCUUACCAAGGCUUGACAUAACCGAGAACGCCGCAGAAAUGUGGAACUC
rnacentral:rRNA from 1 species